rnacentral:rRNA from 1 species
UACGGGGGGAGCAAGCGUUGUUCGGAUUUACUGGGGCGUAAAGGGCGCGUAGGCGGUCAGCACAAGUCAGUUGUGAAAUCUCCGGGCUUAACUCGGAAAGGUCAACUGAUACUGUGCGACUAGAGUGCGGAAGGGGCAACUGGAAUUCUCGGUGUAGCGGUGAAAAUGCGUAGAUAUCUGGGAGGAAUACCGGGUGGCGAAGGCGGCAUCCUGGACCGACAUUGACGGCUGAACGGCGAAAAGCUAGGGGAGCAAACAGG